UACGGAGGGUGCAAGCGUUAUCCGGAUUCACUGGGCUUAAAGGGUGUGUAGGCGGGUUUUUAAGUCAGGGGUGAAAUCUCCAGGCUCAACCUGGAAACUGCCAUUGAUACUAUUUAUCUUGAAUAUUGUUGAGGUAGGCGGAAUAUGUCAUGUAGCGGUGAAGUGCUUAGAUAUGACAUAGAACACCGAUUGCGAAGGCAGCUUGCUAAACAAUUAUUGACGCUGAGGCACGAAAGCGUGGGGAGCAAACAGG
rnacentral:rRNA from 1 species